AUUGAACGCUGGCGGCAGGCCUAACACAUGCAAGUCGAGCGGAUGAAGGGAGCUUGCUCCUGGAUUCAGCGGCGGACGGGUGAGUAAUGCCUAGGAAUCUGCCUGGUAGUGGGGGAUAACGUCCGGAAACGGGCGCUAAUACCGCAUACGUCCUGAGGGAGAAAGUGGGGGAUCUUCGGACCUCACGCUAUCAGAUGAGCCUAGGUCGGAUUAGCUAGUUGGUGGGGUAAAGGCCUACCAAGGCGACGAUCCGUAACUGGUCUGAGAGGAUGAUCAGUCACACUGAACUGAGACACGGUCCAGACUCCUGCGGGAGGCAGCAGUGGGGAAUAUUGGACAAUGGGCGAAAGCCUGAUCCAGCCAUGCCGCGUGUGUGAAGAAGGUCUUCGGAUUGUAAAGCACUUUAAGUUGGGAGGAAGGGCAGUAAGUUAAUACCUUGCUGUUUUGACGUUACCAACAGAAUAAGCACCGGCUAACUUCGUG
rnacentral:rRNA from 1 species